GAGUUCUGCUUCAGCAACACAUAUACUAAAAUUGGAACACCACAGAGAAGAUUAGCACGGCCUUUGUGCAAGGAUGAUAUGCAAAUUCAUAAAGCAUUCCAUAUUCUU